rnacentral:rRNA from 1 species
UGGCGGCGUGCUAACACAUGCAAGUCGAACGAAUAUAGCAAUAUAUUAGUGGCGCACGGGUGAGUAACACGUAACUAACUUGCCUCACAGCAAGGGAUAACAGUUGGAAACGACUGCUAAUACCUUAUACUUCAUUUAACCUCAAGUUUAAAUGAGAAAGAUUUAUCUCUGUGAGAUAGGGUUGCGGCCUAUCAGGUAGUUGGUGAGGUAAUGGCUCACCAAGCCUACGACGGGUAGCUGGUCUAAGAGGAUGAUCAGCCACACUGGAACUGAGACACGGUCCAGACUCCUACGGGAGGCAGCAGUGGGGAAUUUUGCCCAAUGGACGAAAGUCUGAAGCAGCAACGCCGCGUGGAGGAUGAAGGAUUUCGGUUCGUAAACUCCUUUUAUUUGGGAAGAUAAUGACGGUACCAAAUGAAUAAGCACCGGCUAACUCCGUGCCAGCAGCCGCGGUAAUACGGAGGGUGCAAGCGUUACUCGGAAUUACUGGGCGUAAAGGGAGUGUAGGCUUUUUUUUAAGUCUCCCGUGAAAUCCUAUGGCUUAACCAUAGAACUGCGGGGGAAACUGAUAAAAUAGAGUAUGGAAGAGGUUGAUAGAAUUUCUGGUGUAAGGGUAAAAUCCGUAGAUAUCAGAAGGAAUACCAAAAGCGAAGGCAUUCAACUGGGACAUUACUGACGCUGAGGCUCGAAAGCGUGGGGAGCAAACAGGAUUAGAUACCCUGGUAGUCCACGCCCUAAACUAUGGAUACUAGUCGUCGGAUUUAUAAUUCGGUGACACAGCUAACGCAUUAAGUAUCCCGCCUGGGGAGUACGAUCGCAAGAUUAAAACUCAAAGGAAUAGACGGGGACCCGCACAAGCGGUGGAGCAUGUGGUUUAAUUCGAAGAUACGCGAAAAACCUUACCUAGGCUUGACAUGUAAGGAAUCUCGUAGAAAUAUGAGAGUGCUAGCUUGCUAGAACCUUAACACAGGUGCUGCACGGCUGUCGUCAGCUCGUGUCGUGAGAUGUUGGGUUAAGUCCCGCAACGAGCGCAACCCUCGUCCUUAGUUGUUAACGGGUAAGCCGAACACUCUAUGGAGACUCCCUUCGUAAGGAGGAGGAAGAUGAGGACGACGUCAAGUCAUCAUGGCCCUUAUGCCUAGGGCUACACACGUGCUACAAUGGGGUGUAACAAAGAGAUGCAAUACCGCGAGGUGGAGCAAAUCUUCAAACCAUCUCUCAGUUCGGAUUAGAUUCUGCAACUCGACUCUAUGAAGCUGGAAUCGCUAGUAAUCGUGAAUCAGCAUUGUCACGGUGAAUACGUUCCCGGGUCUUGUACUCACCGCCCGUCACACCAUGGGAGUUGAUUUUGCUUUAAGUCUGGAUGCUAA